CCGCCCUUAGCUCAAUUGGCAGAGCAGCUCCCUCUUAAGGAGACGGUUGUAGGUUCAAGUCCUACAGGGCGGA
rnacentral:tRNA from 1 species